GCGCGACUGGAUGAGCCCAUGUCGGAUUAGCUAGUUGGCGGGGUAAAGGCCCACCAAGGCGACGAUCCGUAGCUGGUCUGAGAGGAUGAUCAGCCACACUGGAACUGAGACACGGUCCAG
rnacentral:rRNA from 1 species